GGAUGGAUGAAGGCAAGUCCCCAGUUAAAAACAAGCUGAAUAACAGUAGGUUAAGGUCUGUUUUAGUUUCACUGAUGGUUACAAAGCCCAUUUCGGGUGCAGUCAGGGGAAAAGGCCAUAACUGACUUUUAGGGAACAAAGGGCUUAGUGUAUUCCGCAGGCUCUGGCGAGGCUGGCGGUCAGGCUGGUUCUCACAGUCGGUAGGAAUAGGUCACGAAUGAGCUGAGAAUUUUCUGCUUCUUAACACGCCCAAAAUAAGACCGAGCAGAUCAUUUCCAGCAGGGUGGAGGGAAGGGAGAAGGGAGAACAGGAACUUUGCCAAAGUGGGGCAGGAGUAGGUCAGGCAAGGACCAGGUUUGCCUAGCACACCUUCUCAGUGAGAAAGAUGGGAUAAUUUGGUGGGUGUCUUUGUGAUAGCAGCUGUGACUCUUCCAGUCGGAAAUGGCUGCCUCCUGAACAUGAACAGAUGCAAUCCUGAGAACCUCUUUCAUCUCCUUGGCAGACUCUCUUUACUGCUUCUCCAUGAACACACUCUGCAGUUGCUCUUUGAUGAGUGAUACUAAAGCUUCCGACUGAAUUGUUCUCUUUGGAGACAAUUGCCUCUGAACUCCACAAACUGAACUGCACCGAUGGCACAAGCUGAACAGAACAGCAUGCACUCAACUACAUUCAACGGAACUUCACGGAACUCAGCUGAACUCAACUCCCCCUCUCCCCCCAGUCCCCAAACUCUCCCCCUCCACGCACUGACCUUAAAUCACCUGUCUCUCCUGCCUGCUUUCAUGAGAGCUGAGCAUAUCCUACCUCUGACUCAUUCUGUUAAAUCUGUUUCUGAUUCGUCACUUUAUCUGUGGCUCAAUUAGAUGUCAUUGUUUGGAAUUAAAUAUGUAGAUUAAAGAUGUAUGCUAAAGAAAUGUCUAUAUUUCAGCCUGAUUACACAGACCUAGGUCUCUGGAUGUAAUCCCCUGUAAUCCCUUGUCAGAGUAACCAUGUUGCUGGAUUAAAAUUUCUCUAUAGUAAUUCACUA